UAAACGACUCCCCUGCACUCUUACACCCGA
rnacentral:sRNA from 1 species